rnacentral:rRNA from 1 species
UACGUAGGGUGCAAGCGUUGUCCGGAAUUAUUGGGCGUAAAGAGCUCGUAGGCGGUCUGUCGCGUCGGCUGUGAAAUCCCGAGGCUCAACCUCGGGUCUGCAGUCGAUACGGGCAGGCUAGAGUUCGGUAGGGGAGACUGGAAUUCCUGGUGUAGCGGUGAAAUGCGUAGAGAUCGGAAAGAACACCAACGGCGAAAGCACUCUGCUGGGCCGACACUGACACUGAGAGACGAAAGCUAGGGGAGCGAAUGGG